rnacentral:rRNA from 1 species
UACGGGGGGGGCAAGCGGUUGUUCGGAAUUACUGGGCGUAAAGGGCGCGUAGGCGGCAAUUCAAGUCAUCUGUGAAAUCUCCGGGCUUAACCCGGAACGGUCAGAUGAUACUGCUUUGCUAGAGUGCGGAAGGGGCAAUCGGAAUUCUCGGUGUAGCGGUGAAAUGCGUAGAUAUCGAGAGGAACACCUGAGGUGAAGACGGGUUGCUGGGCCGACACUGACGCUGGAGUGCGACGAACC